rnacentral:miRNA from 14 species
AAUACAGACUCUUGGACCUCAACUCCAGAGUUGAUUCAGCUGACCAGGAGUGGAGUCCAGGAAUCUACAUUUGUCACAAGCACCC